UGCAAGUGUUAGUUCAGGGCAACCGAAACUGCGAAUGGCUCAUUAACACGCUUAGAAUCCAUUUGAUGUCUUUUUUCGGAAACGUAUAAGGAUAGCUGGAGUAAUUCUCGAGCUAAUACUUGCCGUUUGCAUCGUCUUAAGUGAAGUAAGAUGACGAAGAAGAGCUUUUGCCGCAUCAUUCGACUAAGCGACCUAUCAGCUUGUACUUAGGGUCUUUACCUAGGUAGGCUAUCACGGGUAACGGGCGGUUACCGUCGGACUGCCGGAGAAGGCGCCUGAGAGAUAGCGACUAUAUCCACGGAUAGCAGCAGGCGCGAAACUUACCCACUCGAAACACUCGGAGGUGGUAAUGACCAGUUCCAUGAUGGGGUUUACCCCAGGUGGAUAGGAUCGCACGUUAAGUGUGCGGUGAAACCUAGCAGAGGGCCAGUCUGGUGCCAGCAGCUGCGGUAAUUCCAGCUCUGCAAGUUUGCUCCCAUAUUGUUGCAGUUAAAACGCCCGUAGUCGAAACUGCCGUAAGGCAUGACUCCAAUUGGAGGUUCACUGCGAACAAAUCAGGACGCUUAGAGUAAGGUUACAAGAAUGACUCAGCGCAGUAUGAAAUUAUCAGCUCGAAAGAGCAAGGUGAAAGAGAGCCAUCGGGGGUAGAUCUAUUUCAUGGCGAGUGGCGGAAUACUUAGACCCAUGAGAGAGAAGCGAAAGCGAAGGCAUCUACCUAGAGGGUUUCUGUCGAUCAAGGGCGAGAGUAGGAGUAUCCAACCGGAUUAGAGACCCGGGUAGUUCCUACUGUAAACUAUGCCGACGAUGGCUUGUUUCUUCUUAGAAGCAGGACAUUACGAGAAAUCUAGUUCAUGGGCUCUGGGGGAACUACGACCGCAAGGCUGAAACUUGAAGGAAUUGACGGAAGGGCACACCAGGGGUGGAGCCUGUGGCUUAAUUUGAAUCAACACGGGAAAACUUACCAGGACCAGAUGUUUUUAAUGACUGACAGGCUCAAGGUCUUUCAGGAUGUUACUUUUGGUGGUGCAUGGCCGUUGGUGGUGCGUGGGUUGACCUGUCUAGAGUUGAUUCAGCUAACGAGCGAGAUAAUUGCCAAUAACCUAGUUCAUCCAUGUUUUCAUGGUUGAUCUUCUUAUUGGGACUCCCUGCGAUUAAGCAGGCGGAAGAGGGUUGCAAUAACAGGUCCGUGAUGUCCUUUAGAUGCUCUGGGCUGCACGCGUGCUACAAUGUUACGUUCAAAGGGUUGUUACUCCGCGAGGAUGGUACUACUCUCAUAAUGCGUGACGUGGUUGGGAUCGAUCUUUGUAAUCAGGAUCGUGAACCAGGAAUCCCUUGUAAAUGUGUGUCAACAGCGCACGUUGAAUACGUCCCUGCCCUUUGUACACACCGCCCGUCGCUCCUACCGAUUGGAUGACUAGGUGAAACUGCCGGAGAUUCGUUGAAGGUAGUUAAAUCAAGUUAUCUAGAGGAAGGAGAAGU
rnacentral:rRNA from 1 species